UUGUGUCUGUUGUGGGUUGAACCGUAUCCUCCCCAAAUUCAUAUGUUGAGGCUGACUCCCAGUACCUCAGAAUGUGACAGUAUUUGGAGAUGGGAUCUUUAAAGAGGUGAUUAAGUUAAACAGAGGCCAUCAGGGUGGGCCCUAAUCCAAUCUGACUGGUGUCCUUAUAAAAAGAGGAAAUUCAGGCAGGUGAGGAGACACCAGGGACAUGUGAACACAGAGGGAACACCACAUGAGGACAAAGGGAGAAGGAGGCCAUCAGCAAGCCAGGAGAGAGCCUCAGAAGAAACCAACCCUGCUGACACCUUGACCAUGGCCUUCCAGCCUCCAGAACUGAAGGACAAUGUUACAGUCAACUGAUUCCCCAUGGAUGACAGCAGCUAUCUGUUAUAAAGACAAACAAUCCAAUUAGGACCGGCGUAGUUAAUAUGAAGAAGCAAAGGCUUGAAGUGUGUGUGAGUUAAGGUAACGCUGUCACAGGAAAAGCCUGUAAUCUCAAUGGUUUCUUCCAGUGGAGUUUUACUUAUUAUUCACGUAAGUUCAAGGUCAGGGAAAGUAGGUAGGUGGAGGGGACCACACAGUCAUUCAGAGAUCCAGGCUGAGAGAGGCUCUGCCACCUUCAGCAGAUGGAUACCACGGCGACCCUAGGCAUCAGUAUUCUGCUAGAGGUGGGGAAAGGAAGCUUAGAGGGUGGCUUAUGGGCCAGGACGUGGAGUGGCAUCUGUCACUCCUACCCACACUCUUCUGACCAGAACCCGUUCGUGGCCCUUUCUAGAUUUAAUAAAGGCUUGAGAAUGCAGUUGCUGGCUGGGCAGCUGCUUCUCAACGACAGCUCCACUGAAUGGAAGGAAGAGAUAAAUCUGUGAAGGACAGCAGCCGUCCCUGCCACACAGUAGUCAAAUAGAUUGUGGAAGGUCACACAAUUAGCAAGUGACAAGUGACAGGGCCAGGAUCUAAACUCUCCUUGGUCUGAUACCAGAAUCUACGUGCUUAGUAUUCCAGCGGCACUGGGCGAGAACAGACGAUAUAGGAGAAGCGAGCGGGUUUUUUAAGUUGCUUUUCUUCCCAGCCACCACUGGAGGAGCUCGGAGAGAAACAGCACGCCCGCUGCCUCUUUCUUAAGAAGAUAACACUGCCUGGGUGAUGCGUUGUUUCCCACAGUGACUCACUCAAGAUUGCUUUAGUUCAGCAAAUCGCAUCACAUCACGAAACAGUGACAUCUUUGAAGCCAGAGCUCAGGACUUCUCGAAGUGACACUCAAGAAAUGCACAAUGAGCCUCGUUUCCUGAAGAAGCUGAGAAAACAACUUAAAAACCAACAACACACAGUAACAUGAAAUUCUCGUUACAGCUGGCCUCUUUAGUCGCCGCUCCCCAGCUAGUUAAGCUCAAUGGAUUCUGUGCAGACCAUUCUCAGACUGAUUCACAGGACUGCUCUGACGGAAGUGUCUGCAUGUUACUUUGGCCAAUGUGGUAUCAGGAAUAUUACUAGGAAAUAAUGGGUGUUUACUUUGUACCGGAAUCUUGUCUAAUUGCUUCUCAUGCAUUUUCCCAUUUAAUCCUUUAUAAAAUAUGGUAAACUCUGUCUCAAUUAAGAAAUAAUUUGUGGGAUAGAUAUUAUUAUUAUUAUUAUUUCCACCAAUGCUGUUAAAUAAUUUGCUCAAGGUCACAAAUUAGGAGACGGAGCCGAGAAAUGAACCCAGAUAGUGUGACGAUAGAGUCUGUCCCGUUAGUCCCCAAUCCCGUUUCCUGCUGCUGCUGGGUGGGACACAAUAAGCAAGGUGAGAGGCAGGAGGAUGGGAGACCUGCAUUAAUGGAGAGCCUCCAAGGCCCUGGGCAUUCCACACGUGUGAAGAGGUGCCAGGUGUUCUCCAGGGUCUCACUCUGUCUCAACGCUAUUUCCAAUGAGCUUCAAGAGUUAGCCCUUCAUGAGCUUCCCCGAGAAAUCAGAUCAGCCCGGAACUUAUUUGGCCAGAGAAAGGAAUUACAUUGCACUUGAAAACCCACAUUUAGGAGCUCCCUGGCCCACCCCAUUGUCCCCCGUCCUGCCCCAGCUCUCUUAUUCAGCAGCACCGGCCUUUCUUCUGCUUGAACUCUGGGUACAACAGCUCUAAAGAGGCAUUUUCUCAGCAUAGCCGUCUUCUUCCUAUAAUGUAAUUCUCUCUCUUGCUAGCUGCUAAAAAGAUAAAAUUGUCUCCAAAUCCUAACAUAAAUGUCAUCUCAUUCAAUUUUUACAACUCCUUACGGGUAAGAAUUGUUCUCUCCAUUUUGUCCGUAAGGGAACUGAUGCUCAGGGAGGUUAAAGAAGCUGCUUCAGAUCACACAGCUACUAAGUGGCCAAGUGGCAGCUUGAAUCCCCUUCUCUCUGGCUUCAAAUCCAGGGCUAUUUCUCUCACACUAUACCUUAGGUAUUUCAAUCCAGGCUACAGCUUGACCUGGGAGCAGGUCAAACAUAACCUAGGAGCCAGUCUUCACUGGGACUGAACCAUAUUCUCUAGAAGUCAGGCCAGGAGGUUGGUCAAGGGCAGAAAAAGUCAACAGAGGGAAAGAACACUUUU
ensembl:lncRNA